AGAGUUUGAUCCUGGCUCAGAUUGAACGCUGGCGGCAUGCCUUACACAUGCAAGUCGAACGGCAGCACGGAGCUUGCUCUGGUGGCGAGUGGCGAACGGGUGAGUAAUAUAUCGGAACGUACCCUAGAGUGGGGGAUAACGUAGCGAAAGUUACGCUAAUACCGCAUACGAUCUAAGGAUGAAAGUGGGGGAUCGCAAGACCUCAUGCUCGUGGAGCGGCCGAUAUCUGAUUAGCUAGUUGGUAGGGUAAAAGCCUACCAAGGCAUCGAUCAGUAGCUGGUCUGAGAGGACGACCAGCCACACUGGAACUGAGACACGGUCCAGACUCCUACGGGAGGCAGCAGUGGGGAAUUUUGGACAAUGGGCGAAAGCCUGAUCCAGCAAUGCCGCGUGAGUGAAGAAGGCCUUCGGGUUGUAAAGCUCUUUUGUCAGGGAAGAAACGGUGAGAGCUAAUAUCUCUUGCUAAUGACGGUACCUGAAGAAUAAGCACCGGCUAACUACGUGCCAGCAGCCGCGGUAAUACGUAGGGUGCAAGCGUUAAUCGGAAUUACUGGGCGUAAAGCGUGCGCAGGCGGGUUUUGUAAGUUCUGAUGUUGAAAUCCCCGGGCUUCAAUCUGCGUAA
rnacentral:rRNA from 1 species